UACGGGAGUGGCAAGCGUUAUCCGGAAUUAUUGGGCGUAAAGCGUCCGCAGGCGGCCUUUUAAGUCUGUUGUUAAAGCGUGGAGCUUAACUCCAUUUGAGCAAUGGAAACUGGAAGGCUUGAGUGUGGUAGGGGCAGAGGGAAUUCCCGGUGUAGCGGUGAAAUGCGUAGAUAUCGGGAAGAACACCAGUGGCGAAGGCGCUCUGCUGGGCCAUAACUGACGCUCAUGGACGAAAGCCAGGGGAGCGAAAGGGAUUAGAUACCCCUGUAGUCCUGGCCGUAAACGAUGAACACUAGGUGUCGGGGGAAUCGACCCCCUCGGUGUCGUAGCCAACGCGUUAAGUGUUCCGCCUGGGGAGUACGCACGCAAGUGUGAAACUCAAAGGAAUUGACGGGGGCCCGCACAAGCGGUGGAGUAUGUGGUUUAAUUCGAUGCAACGCGAAGAACCUUACCAGGGUUUGACAUCCUGCGAAUCCCUUGGAAACGAGGGAGUGCCUUCGGGAGCGCAGUGACAGGUGGUGCAUGGCUGUCGUCAGCUCGUGUCGUGAGAUGUUGGGUUAAGUCCCGCAACGAGCGCAACCCACGUCGUUAGUUGCCAGCAUUCAGUUGGGCACUCUAGCGAGACCGCCGGUGAUAAACCGGAGGAAGGUGUGGAUGACGUCAAGUCAUCAUGCCCCUUACAUCCUGGGCUACACACGUACUACAAUGCUAUGGACAAAGGGCAGCAAACUCGCGAGAGCUAGCAAAUCCCAUAAACCGUGGCUCAGUUCAGAUCGUAGGCUGCAACUCGCCUACGUGAAGGAGGAAUCGCUAGUAAUCGCAGGUCAGCAUACUGCGGUGAAUACGUUCCCGGGCCU
rnacentral:rRNA from 1 species